UACAGAGGGUGCAAGCGUUGUUCGGAAUUAUUGGGCGUAAAGGGCGCGUAGGCGGUGCGGUAAGUCUGUAGUGAAAUCUCUGGGCUCAACUCAGAGUCUGCCGCAGAAACUGCCGUGCUUGAGUGUGGGAGAGGUGAGUGGAAUUCCCGGUGUAGCGGUGAAAUGCGUAGAUAGUCGGGAGGAACACCUGUGGCGAAAGCGGCUCACUGGACCACAACUGACGCUGAGGCGCGAAAGCUAGGGGAGCAAACAGG
rnacentral:rRNA from 1 species